UCCUUUGCCUGCCACAGUAACUGCUGAAUGUCCUUAACUUUGGACAAAACAACAGCCCUAGCACUAGUUAUGAGGGGCAGAUGGUUUUACGGGCAGCAGAGAAGGUGGACGUAUCAGAUACUGGCCAUCCUGUCAUGCUGGAGCAAGCCGGAUCGAGGAGCAAGCAUGGAGAGGGAAUGAUGCUGGUCCUGAAAGACCCUAAAAGCAAAGCAGGUUCCAGAAACAUGUCCAUAUAUGGUCUACUUGUCAGGGACAAUAAAUAAUGAUGUAAUAGAAAGGUCAACUUUGUGUCAUUUAGCUACGGGAUGCUUGAUGAAGUGAAGUUCUUCAGAUAAUGCAACAAAGAAGAACUUUAGGAUGGGUAAAAGUUUCUGCCGUGCAUCUUCAAACAGGAAAUCUGAGAUUCAGAACAACUUAUAUUUUGGCUUGUAUUCACUGAUCAUGGGGUGAUCCAGAAAUAAACUCCAGGCUUCAAAGCGAGAGUGUUUCAAAGCUGUCCUGCAGUUGAUCGAAACAUCCAGGCAAAGCAGGGAGAUGAAUACCAGCAAGGAUUUUCUGAAUUAAGACUUAAUCAAGGAGAUAACCCAUUUCAACAGUACUAUUACCCUUUUAUUUCAGAACAAAAAGGUAA